rnacentral:rRNA from 1 species
AUUGAACGCUGGCGGCAGGCCUAACACAUGCAAGUCGAGCGGAUGAAGGGAGCUUGCUCCUGGAUUCAGCGGCGGACGGGUGAGUAAUGCCUAGGAAUCUGCCUGGUAGUGGGGGAUAACGUCCGGAAACGGGCGCUAAUACCGCAUACGUCCUGAGGGAGAAAGUGGGGGAUCUUCGGACCUCACGCUAUCAGAUGAGCCUAGGUCGGAUUAGCUAGUUGGUAGGGUAAAGGCCUACCAAGGCGACGAUCCGUAACUGGUCUGAGAGGAUGAUCAGUCACACUGGAACUGAGACACGGUCCAGACUCCUACGGGAGGCAGCAGUGGGGAAUAUUGGACAAUGGGCGAAAGCCUGAUCCAGCCAUGCCGCGUGUGUGAAGAAGGUCUUCGGAUUGUAAAGCACUUUAAGUUGGGAGGAAGGGCAGUAAGUUAAUACCUUGCUGUUUUGACGUUACCAACAGAAUAAGCACCGGCUAACUUCGU